CUCAACAGUAGCCUAUGUUAAUUGUACAACUGUACAGUGUAGAGGGAGGAAUCCAAAUGUUAGUGACAUCGGUGGUAUGCUGGUGAGCAUAACUGACUUCCAAAGGUUUAGGGCAAUAAGAGUGCUGGGCGCCGCCUGCUCUUGCAGCUGCCGCCACCCCACUGAGGGGCGCUCGAUGGGCGCGCCGCCUCGCGUCCCGCUGAAUCCCGGAAGCUGCGGCGCCUCCUGCCGGGGAGCCAUCGCUGCAGCCUGAGGUCGGGUCCCGGGUCGGAGGCUGCCUGAGGAGCGACGACGGUGGCGGCAACGGGAGCCCCACCAGGAGUCUGGGACUGAGGAACUGCCUGGGGCUUCACAAGGCCAGUAUGGACAGAAUAACUUAGGAUGUUUAUCCCCGCCCGCUGCUUCUGAGACCUUGAGUGGAAACCAGAGUGCUUCCAGUCAGAGAAGUGCGUGCCACCUUCCCACCCCUGUCCGACGGGCACCAUGUGGUUCAUCCGCGAUGGCUGUGGCAUUGUCUUUGCCGUUGUCACCUGGUUUCUGGUCUUAUAUGCGGAGUUCGUGGUCCUCUUCGUCAUGCUGAUUCCAUCCGGGGACUACAUGUACAGCGCCAUCAACGGAAUCGUGUUCAGCCUGCUGGCCUUCUUGGCCCUGGCUUCCCACUGCCGGGCCAUGUUGACCGACCCUGGGGCUGUGCCCAAAGGAAAUGCCACUAAAGAAUUCAUCGAGAUUUUACAGCUGACGUCCGGGCAGGUGCUGUACAACUGUCCCAAAUGUUGCAGCAUCAAGCCCGACCGAGCCCACCACUGCAGGGUUUGUAAGCGGUGCAUUCGGAAGAUGGACCACCAUUGUCCCUGGAUCAACAACUGUGUCGGCGAGAAGAACCAGAAGUACUUCGUCCUGUUUACAAUGUACGUAGCUCUCAUUUCCUUGCACUCCCUCAUCUUGGUGGUAUUCCACUUCAUGCAUUGCUUUGAAGAAGACUGCAGCUCCUCCUCGGCCACCACGAUGACCCUCCUCAUUUUCCUCGGCUUGGAGGCGCUUCUCUUCCUCAUUUUCACAUCGGCCAUGUUUGGGACCCAGAUGCUCUCCAUCUGCACAGAUGAGACGGGAAUAGAACAACUGAAAAAGGAAGACAGAAGAUGGGCCAAGAAAGCAACGUGGGUGAACCUGAAAGCCGUUUUUGGCCACCCCUUCUCUCUAGGCUGGGCCAGCCCCUUUGUCAUGCCAGACCAAGGGAAGGCAGACCCGUACCAGCAUAUGAUCUGAAAGACUCUGACCAGCAUUGCCACUCAGACACAAACCACAUCCUGGCACUACCCUUGGAUUGGGUCUUAUGAAUGUCCAAACCGAAAAACCAACACAACUCUAAAUAAAACAUUUUUUGUUUAAUGUCUCAAGUAAAAUGGCAGAACAUUGCAGAAAAAAAA